rnacentral:rRNA from 1 species
AACGAACGCUGGCGGCAGGCUUAACACAUGCAAGUCGAGCACCCCGCAAGGGGAGCGGCAGACGGGUGAGUAACGCGUGGGAACGUACCCUUUGCUACGGAAUAGCUCCGGGAAACUGGAAUUAAUACCGUAUGUGCCCUACGGGGGAAAGAUUUAUCGGCAAAGGAUCGGCCCGCGUUGGAUUAGCUAGUUGGUGGGGUAAUGGCCUACCAAGGCGACGAUCCAUAGCUGGUCUGAGAGGAUGAUCAGCCACAUUGGGACUGAGACACGGCCCAAACUCCUACGGGAGGCAGCAGUGGGGAGUAUUGGACAAUGGGCGCAAGCCUGAUCCAGCCAUGCCGCGUGAGUGAUGAAGGCCUUAGGGUUGUAAAGCUCUUUCACCGGAGAAGGUAAUGACGGUAUCCGGAGAAGAAGCCCCGGCUAACUUCGUGCCAGCAGCCGCGGUAACAC